GCGAUAGCUCAGUGGUUCAGCAUCUGCUUUGCAUGCAAAAGAUCGCAGGAUCAAUCCCUGGUAUCUCCA